CCUACGGGAGGCAGCAGUGAGGAAUAUUGGUCAAUGGACGAGAGUCUGAACCAGCCAAGUAGCGUGAAGGAUGAAGGCCCUAUGGGUUGUAAACUUCUUUUAUAAAGGAAUAAAACGAGGCACGUGUGCCUUUUUGCAUGUACUUUAUGAAUAAGGAUAGGCUAAGUCCGUGACAGCAGACGCGGUAAUACGGAGGAUCCGAGCGUUAUCCGUAUUUACUGGGUUUAAAGGGAGCGUAGAUGGGUUGUUAAGUCAGUUGUGAAAGUUUGCGGCUCAACCGUAAAAUUGCAAUUGAUACUGGCAGGCUUGAGUCUAGUAGAGGUAGGUGGAAUUCGAGGUGUAGCGGUGAAAUGCUUAGAGAUCACGAAGAACCCCGAUUGCGAAGGCAGCUUCCUAAACGAUGACUGACAUUGAUGCUCGAAAGUGUGGGUAUCAAACAGGAUUAGAUACCCGAGUAGUC
rnacentral:rRNA from 1 species